GGUUGUGUUUCUCUGCACGUCAAGCGGCACACCCACAAUAAACUGCCUACUAGGAGUAAUAAACCCAACGCGGGGUGGACUUAAAAAGAAGCUGCAAGUCACCUUGUAAUGGAAGAGAGGGGAGCUGACCAUGACAUUGCUAUGGAAGGAUCUAAUGAUUUGUUCAUAGGCAGCUGUAAUGCUACAGGAGAGUCAGAAACAAAUGAUCAGAUUUUUCAGAAGUUGCUGCUCAAAGUACAUUUUACUGUUUUUCCUCUGUGAAAGCAACUGAGGUGCAUGGAUUCCAGGGAUCUAUUGUUCGGCCAGAGCGACUCUCCCCCAGCCCUGCCCAUCGCAGUCCCCCUGUCGGGCAGCCCUCCCCAGGCGCGGUCCUGCUCUGCCGAGGAACUGCACGGGGCAGAGCAGCCCAGGCAGCCGCUGUGUGAGCUGCAGCCCCUGGGAGGGCCCGGGGCACCCAUGAUGAUUGUUACCAGCCAGUCAGAAAAUGGGCAGGUGCUGCAUGUCAUUCCUUCUGCCCAGCCAGGAGUGACCCAAGUGAUUAUUCCUCCAGGUCAGCUUCUGGAUGUGACCAGCACACAGGAUAUUUCAGAAGAGAAGUGUGGUGAUGGGAAUCUGCAGACUGUGGUGGUGGCUUCCAUAGCAGACAGUGCAAGCAGUUACAUUCUACAUCCACAGGCAUCUCUCACUGUAUCAAAAAAAACAACCACCAGGGCAGUGGAAGAUUCUUUUCCCAUCCCUCUUCAGCCAUUGCCACUAAAUACGCCUGCAUGGGCACGCCGUCUCAGGAACUGUGAGAGAAUUGGGGACUCGUACCGCGGCUAUUGCGUGAGCGAGGCAGAGUUAGAGAGCGUCCUGGCGCUGCACAAGCAGCAGACACAGAGCGUGUGGGGCACGCGCCAGUCUCCGAGCCCCGCCAAACCCGCCACACGCUUGAUGUGGAAAUCCCAGUAUGUCCCAUAUGAUGGGAUCCCCUUUGUCAAUGCAGGAAGCAGAGCCAUUGUAAUGGAGUGCCAAUAUGGGCCAAGGAGGAAAGGAUUUCAGCCCAAAAAAGCUGGUGAGCAGGAAAGCACCUCUAGCCAGCUGUACAAAGCCACUUGUCCAGCAAGGAUCUAUAUUAAAAAGGUCCAAAAGUUUCCAGAAUACAGGGUUCCUACUGACCCUAAAAUUGACAAGAAAAUCAUAAGAAUGGAGCAGGAGAAAGCAUUCAACAUGCUGAAGAAGAACUUGAUAGAUGCUGGUGGUGUCCUCAGGUGGUAUGUACAGUUACCUACUCAGCAAGCCCACCAAUAUCAUGAGAUGGAAACUUCCUGCCUCCCUCCUUCACCAUCCCAUCUUUCUAUGUCUUCUCCUGAGGAGGAGGAGGAGGUCAUUAGGGAUGAGAACAGUACUCUGCCUUCUCGACUUCAUCCUCAAGUGGCAGACAAGAUCCGAGAGCUGGUGUCUCAGGGAGUGGAGCAGGUCUAUGCAGUGAGGAAGCAGCUGAGAAAGUAUGUGGAAAGAGAAUUGUUCACACCUGAUGAAGUGCCAGAAAGACAUAACCUGUCCUUCUUCCCCACUGUGAAUGACAUCAAGAACCACAUUCAUGAAGUGCAGAAGUCCCUAAGGAAUGGAGAGAUGGUGUAUAAUUCAGAAAGUAUCCCAGCAACGCUGCAAUGGACCACAGACAGUGGGAAUGUCCUCACAGAAACAGUGACGGUUGCGUUUGCCUCAGCACCUUCCGAUGGGAGCUCAGGAAUCGAGUCAGUCAUCACCAAAGCAGAAUCCAACCAGAGCGGGGAGCCCUUGGUACCAGAAACAGCUCAGCUGCUGUCUUCACUCUCCUCACUUCAGCCCAAGAUAUUUGCACAGCUUCAGGGAUUACAGCUGCAGUCAGCAUUUACCUCGACAAAUGGAUCAACAGCCCUGCUAGCUGUAAAUAACCAUUCCCCUCCCAGCCCUGCAGGUCUCCUGGAUUCCCUGGGGAGUGCAAUAGGCAGCCAUUCUCUAGCACUGGCUCAGGGGCACAGUCUGCAAGGUGCUGGUCUGACACAGGACAGUGCUGCUGUGCCUGCUUUUGGGGCUCUGCCUGCCUCUGAUCAGAGUCUGCUUGCCAUGGGCCAGCUGGUGCCAGCUGAAGGGGUGGAUGACUCCAGAAACCUGGAAGGAGGAGUGCAGCAGAUCCUCUUGGGAGAUGUGCAGACUAUCCCAGUACGGAUUGUGGACAGCCAGCCAGCACUUACUGAAGAAAAUACAGAGGGUGUUGUUACUUGUGUGAGCCAAGUUAAACAAGAACCAAGAGAGAAAGCAUUGUCUAUGGAAACAGAUAAAAUCAGAGACUGCCACAGUUCCUCACCAUAGUUCUUCACCUUCACCUGUGAAGCCUGGAAGGAUUUUCAAAUUGGAGAACUCUAAAUGUCUUAGAAGGAAAGGCAGGUGCUCUCAAAGUACUGCCAUUCUUUUUUAAUUUCUGUAUGACUUUCAGAAUAAGCAUAUUUUAGAGUACUUCUGACAGAAAGCUGUUUUGCUUGGACUGAUGGGGCUCACUACCAACUCCAGGUCAUUCCGUUGCCCUGUGGAACACCACCUCUCUCUUCUGUUUCAAGUUUUGAGUAAUUUGGAUUCUAUCCAAAUGGCCAUUUUGUUCAUUGUUUCUGAAGGUCUUCCACAAUUUAAUUCCUUAGCUUUAGAAUGUGGAUCACAAUGCUGGGUUCACAUUUUCUGCUUGAAACCCUUGACUUUUAUUGUACUACAGAGACCAUAGAAUCUGUCAGCUCCAAGAUCACAGAAUCCAACAGCAAAGUGGAUCAGUAUGGCAAUGGUUUUGUGACAAAAGGAAGGUCCAGGAUGCUAAACUUCAAAGUGAUAAAGGACAUGGAUGCUUACGAAAAUGCAACUUUGACCUGAUCAUAAUGUUAAUGGUGUGAAGAUCAAGGAGUGGAGAAAGGUGAGGUUUCCAGGUGAACAUAAGGUUGUAUGAUAAAGAAAAGUGUGUGAAUUGUAACAGUGAAUGUUUUUGACUUGACACCUUUGAACUUAAGUUCUGGCUUUAUAAUGAGGUUCAUUGAUGCAUGCAGCCUUCCUUUGCAGCGGUACUGUAAUUGCAGUUGGUCAUAACAACUAAAUGUAGGAGUCUUUCUCAUGGAAAAUGAUUGAUGCUGCCAUUUCAGCUUAUCUACCUCUUGCUUUGUGCCCUUGAAGCUAUCAGCUCAGACAAAUGUGAUUUAAGCUGCUGUUGUUUGUUAUGUAGGGCUUGUGGAUACAUUCCUAACAAAGAGAAGCCCAAGCAAACAAAGGAAGCAAUCAAAGCAAUAUGUCCAAGUAUGCUGUCACCACAACAUUCAGAAAAUAUACUAAUCUUUUUCAAAGGUGACAUAUUCUAAGACUUAUGCGGUCCAUACAAUUCAAAUAAUUACCAGGAAUCUUUAGAAAAUAAAAUGUGGUAAAAAUUAAAGUUUAGUAGUAUUUGAGGUAAAGCCAUAGUAAGUGACAAGCACUGAGCUGCGUAAUGUGUGACAGACAUUUAGAAAAAAAAUCACACCUACAAAUAACUUGGAAUCAAUUUAAAGCUGUAAAUGAAGUAAAACUGAUAACAACAUAGACAUCAAGUUAAGCAAUUGCAUUGUUUACUUCAGAUGUUGAAUUCCUAGAGCAACAUUCAGAGUAGUUUCUAUACAGCAAUAGGAGCCUUUUUGUUAUUAGGUCCUGCUAACUAGUUGAGAGCUUGAUCAUAAAAUAGGGGUUUUUUCUGCAUGCUGUGGAAGAAUCCAGUAUGAGGAUUCUCUCUUUUUCAGAUUUGAAAACAAGCAAACAAAUAACCCCAGGGAAAUUUAUUAGUUCAUUUAUGUAGAGAAGAAAGUGUUGUGAAUAUUAUAUGAACCAACAUAUUAACAUUUUAAAAUUGUUACUGUACCUUGCACUCAAGCAUUCACAAACAUCUUCUAAACAGUGGCGAUUUAAAAUUAUUUUUUCAUUUUAUUUAAAGCUAAAACUUUCAAAAGCCUUACAUUGAAUUUGAGUUCCAAAUGCCUUUAUAUGCAAAAUCUGUUAGGUGCUGUAUCUUAGUCUUAAUAUAUAUCAACUUCUCUGAGGCUAACUAACAUUAUAAAUAUUAUUUGUUUAAAGCUAAUGUUUCUGGGUUAGGUCCCAUUAGAAUUUUCCAACAGGAUUAUGCUCUUAUUAAACAAGAGCCAGUAUUUUAUCAGGCAAGUGCAUUAAAAAAAUCUCCAUUUUUUCGGAGCCUCUAAUAUUUAGUAUCUACACUGACUUGUUUUAUGGUAUGCUUUACUCAUUCCUAGGUAGGAAAAAUCCCACAAGAUUCAUCUGUGGCACUUAUUUAUUUGGUUGGGGUUUUUAAUCUUGCCUUAUUUGUUUGUUGGUGGGUUUUUUUGGUAGGUCGUUUUGCUAAUUGCCAAAAUAUCUCCCAGAUGGAAGUUGUCUGCUGCAGUGUUAGUUCUGGAGCACUCACUCAGCAGUCCUCUUCUCUUUUCCAGCUCAAAAACUGCAUACCAGAAUGGGUACCUCCUUCUAUGCUGCUGUGUUCAAUAAUUCCAUCAUGGCCAGCUUUUCUUAAAGUUUAAACUAUUGCAUUCCAACCUAUAUUCUCUUUCCCUCUGUUGCUCUUUUUCUGAGAAUUUUUCCUCAUUGUUGAGAAUCCUUCUUUUCAAAAGAAUAAAUUACAGCUAAAGAUUACCAGCAAGAGGUUGUUUCCGUUUUAGUUCCCUUCAAAGCAGACCAUACAUUUGUGAUUGGAGCAAAAGCUUAAGGAAAGUCAAGUUAUAUUUCCAUCAGUUCUUGCUUAGUUCCCUCAUUAACAGUUCUGGUUUGUGCACAGUUCUUUCCACCAUGAGCUACAAUUUCCUCCUGUACUGUACAGUAUUUCUGGUGGUAUUUCUGGUUUUGACCUACUGCUCACAGCUGGAGAAAACCAUCUUGAAUUGCAGGUUCUGAAAUUAAUUUUGUAUUCUAUCCUGAUUUGCAUGGUACUCUGAAAACAAUAGAAGAAAAAGCUGCAAGAAUUUUAAAUAAGCAAUAAAGAAUUAGUUGUUUUUAAAAGCUGGGGAUCAGACUUGCAAUUCUGUUAUUCUAUUUAUUGGAAAAUUUAUUUUAAAUGAUUCUUGAGUCAAUACUCACAUUUUUGUCUUCAGUUUUCUUAAUUUUUACAGAAUUUCAGUUCUUUGUCUUCCAGAUACAUAUUUCAGUUUAUUACUGUGUCAUUUAUUUUAAUUUAAUGUAAUAAUUCUUUUUCAAAGUGUGUUUUACAUUUGUUUUGUGUGUGUUGCUGAAGGAGGAAUAUGAACUCACCCCCAUGUCCAGUCUCUAUGUUUGAUUUAAUGUAUUUUUUCACUAAUAUCCACCUAUAUUUUACAGAGAAGACUGUUAUGUAUCUGAAAAAGAUCAGAAGUAAAUGGUGCCACGUGUAAUCGUUAAAGUUGUUUAAAUAGAAUACUCAAGGCUGAUUUUUCAGAGUAGUCUGUGUAGCUUGAUGCAGAAUACUUGGUUAUUACUUUGUGUUGGAAUUGCAGAUGUUUCCUUUUUCUUGUGGUUGUUGUGUGCAAGCGCUUAUUUUGAAAAUCUAGAAUUCCUGACCUUCAACAGUACUGUAAAUGAACAACUGAUUCUCCAGUUAUCCUUGGUUAUCCUAUGCACUUAUCCUAUCCAGUUAUUGUUGUUGGUUGUCUGUAAGAGUGGUCGGUUGCUUUACAAGAAGAGAUGUGCUUCUGUAUGUGCAUGCAAAGAUAAUCUUUUGGUAAAAUGUAGAGAAGGUGUAAAAAGGUACAUAUCUAUAGCUCUCAUUCAAGGCUGGAGGCCUCUUGGAUGGAAAUUAAUACUGGUAAUGAGUGCUUUUUGUGGUACAAAAUUAUUGCAGUUUCCACAAAAUUUAGAGGCACAAAUGUCUGUGUAUGUAUGUGUAUGUAUAUUUUUUUUCUAUAGUAACUUAAUGUAAAAUAUUCCUAUUCAAAUGUAAACUACUUGUUCUUUUCAAAUACUGGUCUAUUUUGUGGCUAUGGGGGCUCAUGGGGAGAAAUGCAAGAGCUCUGUCAGGGCAGUGGAGAUGGAGAUGGAGAACAAGUAAGACAGCUUCAGGGAGAAGCUUCAGGUGGAAGAACUACUUCAGGUGGAAGAAAUUGCUGAAAAGCAAGGAUCCUGCUGGGAGGGCAGAUGGGGGCUGUGCCUGGGGGGUUUUGGGGUUGAGAGCCCAAGGGCUCAAUGCAGUUCUUGAGUCUAUCCAUAGUCCUCUCUAUGCCAGUAGUGGAUAGUGUGAGUUCAUGGUAGGAAUUUAAAGGUAUGAAGAGAAGGGAAGCCUGCCCUGCCCUUAAAAGCAGAAAAGCUGCUUCAGUUUUGGUGAGCACCAGAGGCAGAUAAAUGACUCCCAAUAGUCUGAGGUGCCCAUUCUUAGCUUCUGAUAUAAAGAAGAAACUCCUCUUGGAGCUUCAGCCCAGGGCUGUAGACUCUUUUUCUUUACCUGUUACCAAGGAAAACAAACCUUUUCUUUCCAACUGAAUUAACCUGCUGCUUUUCUCAUCCCACUGACUGCAGCUCAGUAUCUGCCCAAAUGUCUCUUUCUUCAGACUUAUUAAGGCUUCCACAGAAAUCCCAUGCCCUCAGGCCCUCCAAUUCUCAGUGUUUCACUGCUGGACUGUUGAAGGAGCUGCUGAGUUCACUGCACAGAAGUUCUACAAGCCUUCAAGGAACGUGGAGAGCAUGAAGGUGUGUAAGAUCUUGUGAACGGACCUGCAGGAAUGAAACAGAGGAGAAUAAAAUUUGAUGACAUGACUUCUAUGUAAUGCACUUUCUUUGGUGGGAGGAAGAGGAUUUUCCAAUAGAGAAUAAAAAACAUGAAGCAUUCCAAACUACCCCUCAAAACCACCAUGCUUAGAGCCUGAAAGGAUCAUUUACCUCUGAGAGUAGUCCAGAUAACUGUCAAGAGACCAGAGCAGAGAACAGAAGAGGAAGACAAGUUUGCAAAAAACUGCUUGCAGGAGAUAGAAAGCUCUCAAAGCUACAGCUGAAGAUGGCAAUUUCUUAUUGCUGAAAUGGCUCCGUUUAGAUGGUAAAUGUUUUUUAAAUAUACUGCUUUUAAAUUGUUGAUUUUGUUACUAUUUAUGCUCUGAGCUCACAUCUAAUAAAAGAUAGAAUGUUAAUGGUGUAUUUUGCUUUUAUCUUCAGCUGGUUAUCUUCUGAAUGCAAACUGGUCUGAUAACUCCGUGGUCUUGGCUGUUGACAAAGCUGUUAUCACAUCUGAGCUGUUCUGUACGUGCAAGGAGAUGGAGGAAGUGGGAACCUUCUUCACCUGACUUCUGCUGAGAACAGAUGAUCUGUGGAAAGAGGCCUUUACUGGUUUAAAAUCAAUAUCCUCACAAUAAUUUCUUGGCUGCACAGGUUUUUCAUGUCAGGUGCUAGUGCAUCUCUAACUUUGCACA